UUUCCUUCUUUCCUUCCUUACUGGCAGGGUCUUCCUCUGUCUCUGUCGCCCAGGAUCACCCCAGCCUCAACGCUUUGGACCGACCAAGCAGUUGUCCUGCCUCUGAUCUCUCCCAUCCCCAUUACUUGGGACUACAGGCAUGCACCACAACACCGGUUGACUUUUAUGUUGUUUCUCAUGUUUUCCGUAGACGGAGUUUCACUCUUGACGCCCAGGGUGGAGUACAAUGGCACGAUCUCAGCUCACUGCAACCUCCGCCUCCCAGGUUCAAGUGAUUCUCCAGCCUCAGCCUUCCCAAGUAGCUGGAAUGACAACAAUGUGCCAUCAUGCCUGGCUAAUUUUUCUAUUUUUAGUACAGAUGGGGUUUCUCCAUCUUGGUCAGGCUGGUCUUGAACUUCUGACCAUUGGAGAAUUUUAACUUUCUUGGUGGUUGUUUUUCUUUUUUUUUCUUUUCUUUUCUUUUUUUUCUUUCCUUCUCCUCCCCCCCACCCCCACCCCCAGCCUCCCAGGUCCUCCUCCUCCUCCUUUUUCAUUUCCUUCAGCUGGGCUCUCUUACUUGUAUUGCUCGGUUGCUCACGCUGGUCUCAAACUCCUGGCCUUGACACUUCUCCUGUCACAUCCACUGUCUGGUUGUUGAAAUGAGCAUCUCUUGUAAAAUGGAAAAGAUGAAAAAAAUAAAGAGA
rnacentral:lncRNA from 10 species